GUCAGCUACAAGGGCUCACGCGGAUACUUGGCAACAAGGCAUGAAAGGACUGUACUGCAUAAGUCUCGGGAGCUGGAGCCGCUUGAUCCGAUUC
rnacentral:rRNA from 1 species